AGGCUUUCUCAGACUAAAGGUUGUGCACUUUCUCUUUUAGGCAUGGUGAUGCCUGUUUGGAGGUAUGGCUUAAAGUCAUCAGCAUAAACUUUAGAGCCUUUGGAUCUGGGUUCAAAUCACUAUGACCUGGUGAGACUCCUUGUUCAAGAGUGAAUUGCCUGGAGCCCACUUCUUGAGACAGCCUCUGAACAGGUUUAACUGAGCCCAGUUUGAGAACCGCCUACAUGGAAAAGAGAAGAGGGUGAGUUAUAACCACUAAACGGAAUCUGAAAGAAAGCAGCUUAUGCAAAAUCAGACUGGAAUUUUCAUUUUAGAUUUUUUGUGAAAAGCUUUUUUGAAACUUUAAUGAUUUUGGAAGCUUCACCCAGUUAUUUGCAGUACUAAUACUCCUUCUGGCCUGCUCUUACAGAUGUUUGACCCUGUGUUUCAUCAUCUAUGUGUGCCCAACAGAAGCCGCAGGGCCAUUCAAAUAAAGAGAGUUGGCUGAGUUUCCAAGUCUGUCUUUCCAAGUUCAUGCACAUUAGUUUUCCUUCUUAUCAGCAGAGGCUUGUCUUGUACACAUCCUCUGGGUCAUUCGCGCUGAGAUCACCAUGUUAGUCCUAAUUACCUUGAUUCUUAUGUGAUCUCUAAACCAGAUAAAUGCCCAUCCACCCAAGCAGUUGUUUAAUAAAAGUUAUCUUAAAUAUUUAACUUGUAAAUGUUUUAAGAAGUCGAAUUGGCGAAACCUUUUCUCCGAAUUAAAUCAAUUGAGUCUGCUUAUUAUUUCAACACCAUCAAGGGUUUAAUCCUAAAUCCACUAAGGGUAUUUUGAUUUGGUUAUUAAAUCAAAACACCUAAUCAUAUGAUAAGGAAAGAUAACAGGAGCAAGAAAAAGAGGAGAGCAGAGGGAGGCCAAAAGAAAGAAGCAAGGACACCGGGUGAUUAUAUUAAGAGCUACUUUAAAAACAAAAACAAUAGCACUCUAACAUAUCAGUGAUCUAACACAAUAAAAAUUUAUCUCUCACUCAAAGUUCAGCGUUGUGGAUAUUUACAAUUGGCGUGUGAUGGUUCAUUUUGUGACUUGGAUACGCUUUUAGAGCCUCUACUUCUUUGCCUGGAUCCUUUGCCACUUAGCGAGUGGAUUGUGGAUGAGAAGACUGCAUGGGAGAGGUUUCUAUGGGCCAGGCUGAAGGUGAGCGCAUCACUUCUUUGCACGUUCCCUCGGCCAGAAUGAGCCACAGAGCCAGGCUUAUCUGCAAGGGGGGUUGAGAAGUAUCAUCUAGCCUUGUCCCCAGAGCUAAACGGAAGUGGAGAAAGUGAGCAGCGGCUGGUCUUUGGUACAGAUGAAAUAAAAAGUGCCCAUGCACAGGUUUUGUAAAAAUUAGGAAAAAUGAAUCCCUGGUACAUAAAAAUUUUCAGCCUGGGAUUCUUCUUAUACGGAAAUCUUAGUCCGAAGGUCUGAGAGAGGCGCAUAUUGAAUACUCCCAACCCUGUCACAGAUAUCAGUUAAUUCCUAGAUGGGGGGAAUUACUAUGUUUUUCAGAGGUACCAAAGAAAAUGUUCAUCAAUUUUAUAGAUAAGAUCUAAUUCUUAAAACAUUAAGUAUUUUAUUUCAAAUAAUGAAAUAAAAUAUAUUUGUAUUUGUUGCAGCUGAGCAUUAUUAUAUAAACUUUUCCUUUACAAACUUCUCAUAAAAACUUGUUCACAUUCUUACCCCAAAAAAAGUUUUCAAAAAGCUAAACACUUACCCACUGAGUCAUAGAAUAAUUGGAAUUUUGACAGGAAGAUAACUGUAAAGCAGUUCUUUAAAGAGGAGCAGCACUC